ACGACCUUACUUGAACAGGAUCUGUUCUAUAGGAUCGUACCGCUGCAUCCUUGACUAAUAAGGAGGCAAGCACUACAGCUUGGUUGAUGACACAUGACCUGUGGGCCAGAGCGUGAUUAACGGCUAGGGUUAGAGCCUUGAUGCUCGAUCCGAUGCUGUGGAGGAUCGUUUCCUGGUUAGGCUUGCCUGGCUGGGGUGACCCAUAGGUUGUCUGACAGGCU